rnacentral:lncRNA from 10 species
GGGGAGGUUCCCACAACUGCUGCUGUCAAAAACAGCUAGCACAUUGCUCAGGAUGCAGCUGCUUGUCCAGAGGGGUGUGAAGGGAAGGCGGACAGGCACCAGGGAGGCAGUCUACAAACUGAGUGCACUGCUUACACAGGAGGAAACUGACAAAGAGGCCCCAGAGGAGGCAGAUUCUAGCCUGCAGCUUCCCCAUCCCUCAAAGCAUGCAGGUUAUGCUUCUUGCAUUUGUUGGAGGUAGCUGUUGAGAUUUGGGACUAAGCAACAAAGGCAGCUGAGUGAGGUGGUGGCUCAGUGUGCCUGGGGAUUGAACAAACAGGUUCAUAUAUCAAGGAUAAUGAGAGCCAGGUUGCUCAGCAUCAGAGAAGGGAAUUACAAGUAUGAAAACAGGAAAGGCUAGAAAGAACCCUGUGGUGUUAGAUUGGAGUUAGAGGAAUCAGUGUAAACUCAUAGCUUUUGAUAUAUAUAGUUACAUAAGCAUGCAUGCAAGUGUGUGUGUGUGUGUGUGUGUGUGUGUGUGUGUGUGUGUGUGUGUGAUGCAUAUGUGCAUUUCCCAGUUCUGUCCAAAAAGACAGCAAUAAUCAAUACACCAUGUAGCCACGAAUACACCUAACACCUAGAUCUUGGGUUUUAAAUACUAUUCUCCACUGAAAGGAACUGGGGCUUGGGAAAAUAGUAGAUUUGAGGGCUGGAGCAGGAAAAGUGCCCUGUGCCUGGUACCAUGGUACAUGAAACAUCUAGCUGUGCCAUAUGAUAGGCAAGUGCUCAAGUAAUGCUGAGGACAUGUCAAAAGACCAAGGUGCCAACUUAAAGGGACUCCCAAUGGCCAAAUCUGGGACAACUUGAGUAUCAAAAUAAUGACAGUAACAGAUUAUAAGCCAUGAAAUAUAAAUAGUCCUGAUAUACAGACACAUACACGUAUUACAUACACACAUACAUACAUACACACAUGUGCAGAAAGAGAAAGCUCUUUCUUACACUAGAAUGCCCAAUAAUAGGUGUGGAAGGAAGGAUGCAACUAGUAUGGUAAUAAUUGAUUCAAACAAGAAGCAUUACUAGAUGCUAAAACUAAAGCCAUUGUGUGAAAAUUUGUUGAGGAGUAGGAUAUUUACAUAGUCUUAAAGAGUCUUUCCACAAGAUACAAUACCUGCAAAAGGAAGGAGAGUGACUUUAUAGCGAAGAAACAUGGCAGAGACUAUCUUAGUCGAGUGAUCAAAGGCUGCAUCACUGUUACUGGACAAACUGACAUGAGGCUCCUGAUGGGAUGCACAGGGAAGAGUGAAAAAUCACUUCUGUGAUGUUCCUGCCAGAGAUGCAAAACUGAAAUCUAAUCACGAGGAGCCGUCACAUAAACCCAAUUUGAGGAACCUUCUACAAAACAACUGGCCUGUAACCUGGUUGCAGAGAGGAAAGGAGGAAAUUUUUCGAUAGAAAAAUCUUGGAGAUCCUGUUGCUGUCACCCAUCGGGCUGUUGGAAGCUGGGGUUAGUCCAGAAGUCUUCAGGUAAUGCCAGGGUGUUGCCCUGGCCAGGAACUCUCAGUUGCCUCUGAACUUCUUCCAGCCCCACAUGAUGGCUAAGCUCUCCAUGAAAGGAGACCAGUUGGAAACAAAGCCAACAUUCCCAGCACCCUGAGGGCACUGAAGGAUUGGCUAAGUUCUCCCCGGCAAGCCUGUUCCCUGAGAAAAUGGAGGACAGAGUCCUUAAAAUGAAAGAGCUGGGGUCUGUGCCUAUACUCACUCUUUCAAUGAAUCUACGUCGGAUCCCAGGCAGGCCCCCACAAUGAAGUGGUGUUGUUCAACUGAGCUGCCAUCUGAUGAAAGUCUGAUGAAAACCAAAGGCCCUCCUCCAGAAAAGUUCAGGUACACCCAGAAAGAAAUGGGGGUGCAAUUUCAAAGGGAUCACAGGCCAUCUAAAACUAAACCUCAGACCUUCAGAUCCCGGCCCCCAGUGGACAUGGAACCUGAGUGAGGAAUGAACAGUGUCUCAGUUGCUGAGCUGUGGGACAUGGUGGCUGCUGCGGGGUCUUCAGCUUGGUCAUGGCAGGGUGCCCAUGGCCUACAUUCCUUUCUCCUCCUCUUCUCUGUGUCCUUGGCAGGCUGCCCCUGCAGAGGAGGACCGUGGGUGCCCAGACUGAGUAGGUAAGUUUAGCUCUAAGAGAACAGGUUGAGAGAGCCCAUCGGUUGUGUACAGGCAACUUCUCAGCCAAGCUCUGCCAGUUGCUGGUGUUCAUACUUGGCUGAUGUCUCCACUUCAAUACAGAGCCUGCAGGGGAUGCAGGCUGUGAAUGCAGUCCCUGGAACCAGACUGUGGGCUCAGCCAUGAGACCUGGGGGAUGUACUUCACCUUCCUGACUUGGGCUUUUCAACUUGGAAUUGGAGGCCAGAAGUCCACCCUGAAGCGUGGCUGUGGGGUGGAAACAGGCCCUCCAGCAGGGCAACAGCAGGGGCUCCUUGCCUGGCAGCCCCUCCGGUUCUUCAGCCCUUAGCCUCCCCUCUCUGGCUGUGGUCAGUGGCUGGCUCACCAGCCCCUCUUAUGGCAGUCACUGCUCCAGAGUGCCAGGAUUUCCCAGUAUGGUGGCCAGGGCUGUCCGGAGCCCAGCACGCAGCUCAGGAAGCAGCUCAAUGCAGGUGGGACGUCAGUGGGAGCAGAGGGCAGCCUCCCUCCCCAGACCCCUGAGGAUGAGUCUGUCUCCCUCCUUGGUGCUAACUUCUCUCUCCUUCUUACAUCUCCACUUCUUUCUUCUUCCUUUAUCUUCUCUACCUCCUUCUCUCUUCUACCUUUUCCCUUCUUUUCCGCUUUUUCCUUUUUUCAUCUUCAUUCUUCUCUUUUCUUUCGUCUUUCUCUUCCCCUUUCCUCCUCUCUUUGUCUAGUCCUUCUUCCCCCUCACCUCUCCUUUUCCUCCUCUUCCGUUUCAUAAUGAUUAAGAGUAUGGCUUCUGAUGUCAGCCUCCCUGGGUUCGAAUCCCUGCUGUGCCACACACUGGCUGCGUGGCGUUGGGCAAGCCACUUAAUUUCUCUGUGCUUUGGCUUCCUGAGCUGUACAGUGGGAUGCUAACAGUGUCUCUCUUGAAGGGUGCCAUGGGUGCCAGGUGAGCGUUAGCUGCUUAUCAUUCGUGUUCCUUCCUCCCCUCCUCUUCUUCUCCUCCUGGUCUUAGAAGUCUGUCUCCCUCCCUCUCUCCAAGCCCUGUGACUCGCCUCUUACGUCUCUCUGCCCAGCAUCUUGGGCCUGUCUCUGGCCCCUGCCCUGCUGCUUCAUCCUCUCACUGCACGCACAGGAAGGAGAGCCCAGGCCUGGGGCCAGGUUGCCCCAUGAACAGUUGCUGAGCCAGGUGGCUGGAGCUCUUCCCUGGGGCCCCGCCCACGAUGAGUUCAGGAGCUGCCUUUGUGCACCCGUGACAGCCUCUCCUGGCGCCUCAUUUGGCAGAGCUGUGCAUCUGGCCCAGUUACUGUGGUAGCCUUGGAAGGCAGAGUGCUCUGGGGCUUCCUUGUCAUCUACCUGCGUGACCCUGCAUGAAGGGUAUGCCCAGCCCUCAGCUGGACUGCCAGCCCCACAGGCACCCUUGGUGCCCACCACACAGCAGGAGCUCAUCCACAGAUGGGCACAAAUAGUGAUACCAGACAGUGCCUCUGAGUCCUUGCUGUGCUAGGCACUGUUCUAAGUGCAAAUUCCGUUCAUCUUCACAGCAACCCUUGCAGUGGGGGCUGUUAACCCCAUUUUAGAGAUGAGCAAACUGAAACACAGAAAAGCAUAGGAAAUUGCCCAAAGUUGAAUGAAUGAAUGAAUGAAUACAAUGACAACUUAGGAAGGAAGGCAUUUUACUGAAGAGUGACAGGCCCACGGUCACACAGAUAGUAAGUGGAAAAAAAUCAGGGCUGGAACUCAUGACUCCAACAUCACCUCCCACCUGUCCAUAAGCCCAGUGACAGCAAGGCUGGCACUCCCUCACACUUGGGGUUGAGGCCAGUAAGAGCUGCAUUUGUGGAACACUGGCCAAAGCAAACCCUCUGUGCUGAGGGCACUUCAGCCAGUGUCUCAAGCCUGUCUGCACUUCUUCUUUUUUUUUUUUUUGAGACAGACUCUCACUCUGUUGCCCAGGCUGGAGUGCAGUGGCGCAAUCUCGGCUCACUGAAACCUCUGCCUCCCCGGUUCAAGCCAUUCUCCUGCCUCAGCCUCCU